UGUACGUGUGUCUGCCCUGCGAUCGACUGGCGCCCUGUCCAGGGUAUUACUGUGUGCCCAUUGAAAAGCUGGGAUAGGCUUCAGUACCACCAAAUCAAAACGUCUCUGUAAAGUACCUUGCGCUGUUCUGACAACCUCUUGUCUCGCAGCUUCUGCUGCCAUUGAGGGAACUUUUCCUCCAGGGCUUCGGACUCAGAACCACCAUAAUUAGGAUGAAGAGGUUUUUAAAGAUGAACAAAAUUAUGUGCUCUCCCAUUACAAUGUACUCUGUAGAUUGUCU